rnacentral:lncRNA from 1 species
UCCUCCCAGUAAGACCUUCCCAGUUGGCUAGGUCCUUCCAGUUGGAUAGACCUUCCCAGUAGGCUAGGUUCUUCCAGUAAGACCCUUCCAGUUGGCUAGGUCCUUCCAGUUGGAUAGACCUUCCCAGUUGGCUAUGUCCUCCCAGUAGGACCCUUCCUGUUGGCUGGGGCCUCCCAAGUAAGACCUUUCCAGUUGGUUGGGGCCUUCCAGCUUGAUAGACCUUCCCAGUAGGCUAGAUCUUCCCAGUAAGGUAGACCCUUCCAGUUGGCUAGACCCUUCCAGUUGGCUAGGUCGUCCCAGUAAGACCCUUCCAGUAGACCUCUACCAGUUGGCCAACCCAUUCCACUCAGCUCCUCCAGCCAACUGGUUCCACCUGGCCCCAAACUCCUCCACUCUUUCCCCAAAAACGCUUCCGCUCUUUCUUUCCCCAAAUUUUUUCCGCUUGUUCCCCAAAAACUUUUCUCCGCUCUUUCUUCCCCCAAAAACGUCUCCGCUCGUCCCCCAAAAAUGUCUCCACUCUUUC